UACGGAGGGGACUAGCGUUGUUCGGAAUUACUGGGCGUAAAGCGCACGUAGGCGGAUUUGUAAGUCAGGGGGUGAAAUCCCGGGGGCUCAACCUCGGAACUGCCUUUGAUACUGCAAAUCUCGAGUCCGGAAGAGGUGAGUGGAAUUCCUAGUGUAGAGGUGAAAUUCGUAGAUAUUAGGAAGAACACCAGUGGCGAAGGCGGCUCACUGGUCCGGUACUGACGCUGAGGUGCGAAAGCGUGGGGAGCAAACAGG
rnacentral:rRNA from 1 species